UGCCCCGUGGUGUAACGGCAACACACCGGUCUUUGGAACCGGCUUUCCUGGUUCGAAUCCAGGCGGGGCAA
rnacentral:tRNA from 1 species